rnacentral:rRNA from 1 species
AACGAACGCUGGCGGCAGGCCUAACACAUGCAAGUCGAGCGCGCCCUUCGGGGUGAGCGGCGGACGGGUGAGUAACGCGUGGGAACGUGCCCUUCUCUGCGGAAUAGCCUCGGGAAACUGAGAGUAAUACCGCAUACGCCCUUUGGGGGAAAGAUUUAUCGGAGAAGGAUCAGCCCGCGUUGGAUUAGGUAGUUGGUGGGGUAAUGGCCCACCAAGCCGACGAUCCAUAGCUGGUUUGAGAGGAUGAUCAGCCACACUGGGACUGAGACACGGCCCAGCCUCCUACGGGAGGCAGCAGUGGGGAAUCUUAGACAAUGGGGGCAACCCUGAUCUAGCCAUGCCGCGUGAGUGAUGAAGGCCUUAGGGUUGUAAAGCUCUUUCAGCUGGGAAGAUAAUGACGGUACCAGCAGAAGAAGCCCCGGCUAACUCCGUG